AUGGUGCUCGGGUACCCCGCUGAGGAAGCUCAGUCCAUCGCCGAUCGGCUUAACUGUCGGCUGGGUUCUUUCCCCACGACUUAUCUGGGGAUCCCCAUUAGUGACUCGCGCCUCACCGUGGCGGACCUCCGCCCCACGGUGACCCGUAUGCAGCAUCGCGUAGAGCCCUGGAAAGGGCGCUGGCUAUCGAAGGCGGCCCGCGUGAUCCUUAUCAACUCUUCGCUGGCCAGCCUCCUGUGGUUCCUCAUGAGCUUCUACAGCCUUCAUGAGAUGCUCCACCAGGAGAUCGCCAAAUACUAGUCCAGAUUCUUCUGGGCAGGGGAGGAGGGCAAG
rnacentral:rRNA from 1 species